rnacentral:rRNA from 1 species
AUUGAACGCUGGCGGCACGCCUAACACAUGCAAGUCGAGCGGCAGCGCGAUAUGUAGCAAUACAUAUUGGCGGCGAGCAGCGGACGGGUGAGGAACACGUAGGAACCUACCCUCGAGUGGGGGAUAACCAAGGGAAACUUUGGCUAAUACCGCAUGAACUCGAGAGAGCAAAGCUGCCGCAAGGUGGCGCUCGAGGAGGGGCCCGCGUCCGAUUAGCUAGUGGGUGAGGUAAGAGCGCACCAAGGCGAUGAUCGGUAACUGGUCUGAGAGGACGACCAGUCACACUGGGACUGAGACACGGCCCAGACUCCUACGGGAGGCAGCAGUGGGGAAUAUUGGACAAUGGGGGCAACCCUGAUCCAGCGAUGCCGCGUGAGUGAAGAAGGCCUUCGGGUCGUAAAGCUCUUUAGGUUGGGAAGAAGGGUGAUGGAGGAAAUGCUAUCACUUUGACGGUACCGACAGAAUAAGCACCGGCAAACUCUGUGCCAGCCGCCGCAGUAACAC